CAGACUUACGUGAAACCAUCAAUGGAAUUUACGCCUUACUUUGGUAAUUAUAGAAGACAUAAAAAAGAGAGAUGUUGAGAGAGACUUCUAAACGAUGAGAUCAGACAUUCCAAAACUACAGAUUAUUUUGGGAAGAUCAGUGACGCUUAUCAAUGCAUGAUGCAGCACAGGCUUUUGGUUUUCAGCUGGCUUGCUACUGAACCUGAC